rfam:Trichobilharzia regenti genome assembly, scaffold: TRE_scaffold0057325
GUACUGAUGAAGAGUCCCAAACUAGGAUGAAACAGCUGUCGAGUAC